CAUCAAGGAUUGGCCUCUCCUGGAGGAGGUCAGGGCUGAGGCCACAAGCUGAAGUCACACCCUCUGCCGCCUGUGACCUGAUUUGUUGUAGGCUGGGAGGAAUGGACUUCAAAACCAUCGUCUGAAGAAUCUAGGGAAGGUCUUCCGGGGAGGGAAAGAGAAGCAAGGAGAAGUGUGGGAAGGCCGAUGGGGUCUAGGAGCAGUUUGGGCAUGGAGGAAGGAAUGCUGGAGGAUAGGAAAGGUGUAAGAGGCUGUGUGGGGACUGGAUGCAGCGCCUGAAGGAGGAUGUGGCAAGCUGAUAAGCACAAGCCCACUGAAAUUAUUUCCCAGAGAGGAACACAGAGGCGGUGGAAAAGGGACAUCGGUAUAG